rnacentral:rRNA from 1 species
UGGGGAAUAUUGCACAAUGGGCGCAAGCCUGAUGCAGCCAUGCCGCGUGUAUGAAGAAGGCCUUCGGGUUGUAAAGUACUUUCAGCGGGGAGGAAGGUGUUGAGGUUAAUAACCUCAGCAAUUGACGUUACCCGCAGAAGAAGCACCGGCUAACUCCGUGCCAGCAGCCGCGGUAAUUCGGAGGGUGCAAGCGUUAAUCGGAAUUACUGGGCGUAAAGCGCACGCAGGCGGUCUGUCAAGUCGGAUGUGAAAUCCCCGGGCUCAACCUGGGAACUGCAUUCGAAACUGGCAGGCUAGAGUCUUGUAGAGGGGGGUAGAAUUCCAGGUGUAGCGGUGAAAUGCGUAGAGAUCUGGAGGAAUACCGGUGGCGAAGGCGGCCCCCUGGACAAAGACUGACGCUCAGGUGCGAAAGCGUGGGGAGCAAACA